rnacentral:rRNA from 1 species
AGAGUUUGAUCCUGGCUCAGGAUGAACGCUAGCUACAGGCUUAACACAUGCAAGUCGAGGGGCAGCAUUUUUAGUUUUGCUUGCAAACUAAAGAUGGCGACCGGCGCACGGGUGAGUAACACGUAUCCAACCUGCCGAUAACUCGGGGAUAGCCUUUCGAAAGAAAGAUUAAUAUCCGAUAGUAUAUUAAAACCGCAUGGUUUUACUAUUAAAGAAUUUCGGUUAUCGAUGGGGAUGCGUUCCAUUAGUUUGUUGGCGGGGUAACGGCCCACCAAGACUACGAUGGAUAGGGGUUCUGAGAGGAAGGUCCCCCACAUUGGAACUGAGACACGGUCCAAACUCCUACGGGAGGCAGCA